rnacentral:rRNA from 1 species
GUGGGGAAUAUUGGACAAUGGGGGGAACCCUGAUCCAGCCAUGCCGCGUGUGUGAAGAAGGCCUUUUGGUUGUAAAGCACUUUAAGCGAGGAGGAGGCUACCGAGAUUAAUACUCUUGGAUAGUGGACGUUACUCGCAGAAUAAGCACCGGCUAACUCUGUGCCAGCAGCCGCGGUAAUACAGAGGGUGCAAGCGUUAAUCGGAUUUACUGGGCGUAAAGCGCGCGUAGGUGGCCAAUUAAGUCAAAUGUGAAGUCCCCGAGCUUAACUUGGGAAUUGCAUUCGAUACUGGUUGGCUAGAGUAUGGGAGAGGAUGGUAGAAUUCCAGGUGUAGCGGUGAAAUGCGUAGAGAUCUGGAGGAAUACCGAUGGCGAAGGCAGCCAUCUGGCCUAAUACUGACACUGAGGUGCGAAAGCAUGGGGAGCAAACAGGAUUAGAAACCCGGGUAGUCC